rnacentral:rRNA from 1 species
CGCAAGCCUGACGGAGCUACACCGCGUGAGGGAAGACGGCCUUUGGGCUGUAAACCUCUUUUCUCAGGGAAGAAGGACUGACGGUACCUGAGGAAUCAGCCUCGGCUAACUCCGUGCCAGCAGCCGCGGUAAUACGGAGGAGGCAAGCGUUAUCCGGAAUUAUUGGGCGUAAAGCGUCCGCAGGGGGUCUUCCAAGUCUGCUGUCAAAGCCCGGGGCUCAACCCCGACGCGGCAGUGGAAACUGGUGCGCUAGAGGGCGACAGGGGUAGAGGGAAUUCCCAGUGUAGCGGUGAAAUGCGUAGAGAUUGGGAAGAACACCGGUGGCGAAAGCGCUCUACUGGGUCGCACCUGACCCUCAGGGACGAAAGCUAAGGUAGCG